rnacentral:ncRNA from 2 species
AAGGAUCGGCUAACUCCGUGCCAGCAGCCGCGGUAAUACGGAGGAUCCAAGCGUUAUCCGGAAUCAUUGGGUUUAAAGGGUCCGUAGGCGGUUUUAUAAGUCAGUGGUGAAAUCCGGCAGCUCAACUGUCGAACUGCCAUUGAUACUGUAGAACUUGAAUUAUUAUGAAGUAACUAGAAUAUGUAGUGUAGCGGUGAAAUGCUUAGAGAUUACAUGGAAUACCAAUUGCGAAGGCAGGUUACUAAUAAUACAUUGACGCUGAUGGACGAAAGCGUGGGGAGCGAACAGGAUUAGAUACCCUGGUAGUCCACGCCGUAAA